GAGUUGCAAUUGCAUGAUAUAAUUAUAUUAAAUUUUAUUACUACCACUUUCUUGUUUCCCUGUGUUAAUAUUCCACAUUGAUUUGGGAUACGGUUAAGGCCUUGAGUACUCCUCUUCUCUUGAGCUAGCUUUUGGACUUGAGUUAGGCUCCGGCCAUUUUCUUAAUAUGGUAUGAGAGCCUCCCCAACUAAUGUUAUGCCUCCUAUAAGUGUUUAAUGUCUCAGGUGUUCAAUCCUGGGCAUGAGGGGCGUACAUGUGUUAAUACUCCACAUUGGUUUAGAAUAAAAGAGGUUGAAGACUAUGUUCAGCAUUUCAAAUGUCAAAAAUGUAGGCAAUCAACAUUGAGGAACUAAUUGCUUAACUACCUUAACUGCGCCGCGCCCCCACCUUCUUUUUUCCAAGCUGUUUGAUACUAGGGGCAUGUUUUCAUAUGAAUA
rnacentral:misc_RNA from 1 species